rfam:Planctomycetes bacterium SCN 63-9 ABS79_C0189, whole genome shotgun sequence.
CUAUCGCCUUGGCAACGAGACGAGACACGGCGGGAGGAGUCAGCCGAGGCCGUAGUAGUCGGGAGCGAUCUCGACGAAGGGC